AAAAAGUGACAGGCAGGUUUGUUAAGAAACGUGACGCAAUGAGCAACUAGUGGUUCCAUUCCAUUUAUGUAUUGUAGUAACAGUAACAGACAGAGUUGUAUUGUAAGAGAAGAAAAUUUGACAAGCAAGUAUCAAUGGCUACUUCGUUGUGUAUACCUUCCUAUUCCUAUUCAAACUCUAUCAAUCUCAGAACACAGCACCUUAACUCAUCCUCUGUUCAUUUCACCCCUCCUUUUCGUUUCAACACCAAAAUCUCUUGCAAUUCUAAUACUACUAACAACAACAACAACAACGAUGCAACAAAACCACAACAACCUCAAUCUCAAUCCAUUCAACUUUACUCCCAAAUCGAAAAGUUUGUUUUUUCUUUCUUUUCUUUUCUUUUAACAAGAGGGAAUUUUGUUUUAUAAUUAUCAUAUUAUUCUAAGUUUAAUCUUAACAACUUCACUUAAGAUUCAUGGUU
rnacentral:lncRNA from 1 species